rnacentral:rRNA from 1 species
GAUGAACGCUGGCGGCGUGCCUAAUACAUGCAAGUCGAGCGAACGGACGAGAAGCUUGCUUCUCUGAUGUUAGCGGCGGACGGGUGAGUAACACGUGUAUAACCUACCUAUAAGACUGGGAUAACUUCGGGAAACCGGAGCUAAUACCGGAUGAUAUUUUGAACCGCAUGGUUCAAAAGUGAAAGACGGUCUUGCUGUCACUUCUAGAUGGUUCCGCGCUGCAUUAGCUAGUUGGUAAGGUAACGGCUUACCAAGGCAACGAUGCAUAGCCGACCUGAGAGGGUGAUCGGCCACACUGGAACUGAGACACGGUCCAGACUCCUACGGGAGGCAGCAGUCGGGAAUCUUCCGCAAAGGGCGAAAGCCUGACGGAGCAACGCCGCGUGAGUGAUGAAGGUCUUCGGAUCGUAAAACUCUGUUAUUAGGGAAGAACAUAUGUGUAAGUAACUGUGCACAUCUUGACGGUACCUAAUCAGAAAGCCCCGGCUAACUACGUG